rnacentral:rRNA from 1 species
GAUGAACGCUGGCGGCGUGCCUAAUACAUGCAAGUCGAGCGAACGGACGAGAAGCUUGCUUUUCUGAUGUUAGCGGCGGACGGGUGAGUAACACGUGGAUAACCUACCUAUAAGACUGGGAUAACUUCGGGAAACCGGAGCUAAUACCGGAUAAUAUUUUGAACCGCAUGGUUCAAAAGUGAAAGACGGUCUUGCUGUCACUUAUAGAUGGAUCCGCGCUGCAUUAGCUAGUUGGUAAGGUAACGGCUUACCAAGGCAACGAUGCAUAGCCGACCUGAGAGGGGGAUCGGACACACUGGAACUGAGACACGGGCCAGACUCCUACGGGAGGCAGCAGUAGGGAAUCUUCCGCAAUGGGCGAAAGCCUGACGGAGCAACGCCGCGUGAGUGAUGAAGGUCUUCGGAUCGUAAAACUCUGUUAUUAGGGAAGAACAUAUGUGUAAGUAACUGUGCACAUCUUGACGGUACCUAAUCAGAAAGCCACGGCUAACUACGUG